GGCAUUAAAUCAUUAUUCUUUUAAAAAAUAAAAAAAUUCAAAAAGUAGUGGGGGACCACCUUGCUACAUAGGCAAAGUGGUGAAAAGUUGUAUCUUUAGGUGGCAGUAAAUCAUUAUUCUUCUUUUUCCUUAAUAAGCUGAAACCCUAGAUUUUUUUUCCAGAAUAAUCCCUGAUUUUUCUCUUCUUCUAUAAAUGGGGUGUAGUAACUAGGAAAUCUGAUUGAAGAAGAAUUUCAGUCAGUUGUGGAGGCCCGGCUCCUCGAAGCAUUCAACUCUUCUCUCUCUCUGCUUUUGUUUUGUCCUCUUAAUUUAGCUACGCGCUCUUACCAAUUACGACACGAUCCAACCCAACCAUUAAUUGCCAGUCUGCCACACUCGAAUUAAUUAAUAUCUCCACUUCGUAUAAAAAGACAUGAUAAACAUGAGAUGGAUACUCUCUUUCUCAGUCACCGCUCUCCUCUUAUUCUCUCACCUUCUUCCAAGUUCAGCUCUUGAAAGCGCUUUGAAUCCCCUCAUGAGUAGAGUUCCCGGCCAGCAUCUGCAACAAGAGAGAUCACAACUGGCAGGCAGUUCAUUUUACAAUCGGAAGCUUGGAGUUCACAUCAAAAAGAGGAUUCCCUCGGUUCCGAGAGUCGGAACACGUGGUGCUGGUGGCAGAAAAUCUUCAGCUAUUCGAAGUCGGAUAUCUUCCUUCAAUGUUGCCUCUGUUAUUUGCGUUUCCCUUGGUUUCUUCAUGCUCUAGUUUGUGCGUGCGUGGGUGGCGGAGUAUGUUAGUUCAUCUUCAAACAUCUUUAAGAUCGAUCUUAUCUCCAACACGUCAAAUUGUGUUACAAUCCUAAGUGCUUCAUAUAGUUUAAAUACAUUCUUAAAUAUAUAAGUUCUACAUUUGUAUCAUAUUCUUGCCUUAACCUUUUUUAUUUUUUAUUUUUUUAGUUUUUUUUUUUAAUAUUGUUGCUUAAAUGGGUGUGACAGCAUAUUGUAUUUGCCAUUCGUAAAUAUUAUUGAUAAAUUCCAUUGGUUUUGUAUUAUAGAUCUAAAUUUCAGUCCAA